UAAAUAGAAAAGGCCCAGUAGAGGUGCUGC
rnacentral:piRNA from 1 species